CGAAAGCCUGACGGAGCAAGACCGCGUGAGGGAGGAAGGCUCUUGGGUUGUAAACCUCUUUUCUCAGGGAAGAAGCACUGACGGUACCUGAGGAAUCAGCAUCGGCUAACUCCGUGCCAGCAGCCGCGGUAAUACGGAGGAUGCAAGCGUUAUCCGGAUUUAUUGGGCGUAAAGCGUCCGCAGGUGGUAGUUCAAGUCGAUUGUCAAAGGCAGUAGCUUAACUACUGAGAGGCAGUGGAAACUGAAAGACUAGAGUGCGGUAGGGGUAGAGGGAAUUCCCGGUGUAGCGGUGAAAUGCGUAGAGAUCGGGAAGAACACCAGUGGCGAAAGCGCUCUGCUAGACCGGCACUGACACUGAGGGACGAAAGCUAGGGGAGCA
rnacentral:rRNA from 1 species